UUUAUUAAGAGUUUGAUCCUGGCUCAGGAUGAACGCUGGCGGCGUGCUUAACACAUGCAAGUCGAGCGAACAAAGCGAUGUGAAGCCUUCGGGCGGAUCAUCGCGGCGUGAGCGGCGGACGGGUGAGUAACACGUGGGUAACCUGCCCUGUACACUGGGAUAACGCACCGAAAGGUGUGCUAAUACCGGAUAAAGUGAACCUUUCGCAUGGAAGGAUCACCAAAGCUCCGGCGGUACAGGAUGGACCCGCGUCCCAUUAGCUAGUUGGUGAGGUAACGGCUCACCAAGGCGACGAUGGGUAGCCGACCUGAGAGGGUGAUCGGCCACACUGGAACUGAGACACGGUCCAGACUCCUACGGGAGGCAGCAGUGGGGAAUAUUGCACAAUGGGCGAAAGCCUGAUGCAGCAACGCCGCGUGAGCGAUGAAGGCCUUCGGGUCGUAAAGCUCUGUCCUAAGGGAAGAUAAUGACGGUACCUUAGGAGGAAGCCCCGGCUAACUACGUGCCAGCAGCCGCGGUAAUACGUAGGGGGCAAGCGUUAUCCGGAAUCACUGGGCGUAAAGGGUGCGUAGGCGGCUGAUAAAGUCCGAGGUGAAAGGCUACGGCUUAACCGUAGUAAGCCUUGGAAACUUAUCAGCUUGAGUACAGGAGAGGAAAGUGGAAUUCCUAGUGUAGCGGUGAAAUGCGUAGAUAUUAGGAGGAACACCAGUGGCGAAGGCGACUUUCUGGACUGUUACUGACGCUGAGGCACGAAAGCGUGGGGAGCGAACAGGAUUAGAUACCCUGGUAGUCCACGCCGUAAACGAUGAGUGCUAGGUGUCGGGGGUCGAACCUCGGUGCCGCAGCUAACGCAUUAAGCACUCCGCCUGGGGAGUACGUU
rfam:[Clostridium] litorale DSM 5388 strain W6 CLIT_13c, whole genome shotgun sequence.